rnacentral:misc_RNA from 1 species
GUGAAUCAUCGAAUUUUUGAACGCAAAUUGCACUCUCUGGUAUUCCGGAGAGUAUGCCUGUUUGAGGGUCAGUUUAAAUAAAAAUCGGUGUGGUUGCUGCCUUUCGUGGUGACGCACCGGAUUUGGGUCUUCUUGCCUUCGGUUAAGUGACCUAAAAUUUUGCAUGAUUUUUUCGAACUUAUUUAAACGAUUUUACGUAUAUUUGUGUUAUCUAAUACCAGGAGUCUUAUUCCA